UACGUAGGGUGCGAGCGUUGUCCGGAAUUAUUGGGCGUAAAGAGCUCGUAGGCGGUGUGUCACGUCGUUCGUGAAAACCUGCAGCUUAACUGUGGGCGUGCGGUCGAUACGGGCAUCACUGGAGUUCGGCAGGGGAGACUGGAAUUCCUGGUGUAGCGGUGAAAUGCGCAGAUAUCAGGAGGAACACCGGUGGCGAAGGCGGGUCUCUGGGCCGAUACUGACGCUGAGGAGCGAAAGCAUGGGUAGCGAACAGG
rnacentral:rRNA from 1 species